UCCAUUAUCGUCUAGUGGUUUAGGAUGUGGCCCUUUCACGGCCGAGACCGGGGUUCGAUUCCCCGUAAUGGAG
rnacentral:tRNA from 1 species